rnacentral:tRNA from 1 species
GCCUAGGUGGCUUAGUCGGUUGAGUGUCUGACUCUUGGUUUCAGCUCAGGACAUGAUCUCAUGGUUCGUGGGUUCGAGCCCUGCACUGGGCU